rnacentral:rRNA from 1 species
UACGUAGGGGGCAAGCGUUGUCCGGAUUUAUUGGGCGUAAAGAGCGUGUAGGCGGCCUGACAGGUCUGCUGUGAAAACUCGAGGCUCAACCUCGAGAUGUCGGCGGAAACCGUCUGGCUAGAGUCCGGAAGAGGAGAGUGGAAUUCCUGGUGUAGCGGUGAAAUGCGCAGAUAUCAGGAGGAAUACCUAUGGCGAAAGCAGGUAGCUGGGCCAUCACUGACGCUGAGCUGCGAAAGCUAGGGGAGCAAACAGG